rnacentral:snRNA from 1 species
AAAACCUAGGGCGCGAGCCCGGGC